UACGUAGGGUGCAAGCGUUGUCCGGAAUUAUUGGGUGUAAAGAGCUCGUAGGCGGUUUGUUGCGUCGGCUGUGAAAUCCCGAGGCUCAACCUCGGGUCUGCAGUCGAUACGAGCAAACUAGAGUGUUGCAGGGGAGACUGGAAUUCCUGGUGAUAGCGGUGAAAUGCGCAGAUAUCAGGAGGAACACCGGUGGCGAAGGCGGGUCUCUGGGCAACAACUGACGCUGGAGGAGCGAAAGCCGUGGGGAGCGAACAGG
rnacentral:rRNA from 1 species